UGUGGGUUUAUGUACUGUACUUACAGUAUGUGUAUGAGUCUAUGUCACCUCCAUGUGUGUUUAUCAGUGUGUUCUCCUGUAUCUCUAUACUGUGUAGGGUCCAGAGGUGCUCCCAUAUCAACCAGAUGCAGGCCAGAGACUUGGCCUGUGUGUUCUCCUCCUGUCUCUUCCAAACCGAGGGACAAACCACACCAGAGAUCAGCGUGGUCCAAGACCUCAUCACCAACUAUGUACAACUUUUUGGGGUCAACGAGGACCAACUCAAGCAGAUGGAGAGUGAGAACAGUUUCAUCACACGAUGGAACGACAAGAAAGACACCACACUGAGAGUGAUUGUUGUCAAGACAAACUGAAGUGUGCUUUAACUGGGGGCCAAGACUCAGCAUUUCAAAAUGUCCGCCACGCAUGGACUGUUUAGUUAUCAGUGCAGUUGAUGAAAGUGGUUUAAUGUGUGGUACUGUCUCAACCAGCUGCAUAAGUAAGUGAUAAUCAACGAGGGGGCUAUUCGUUAUUAAUGAACACAUGGAGCCCUGAGUUGAUUAUCCCUUUCAUAUCAUCUAUAUAAUUUAACACAUUUUCCACUAGAUAUGUGUUCAUUUUGUCGGUAGAAAUGUGAUCAACAUCCACUGAAGUAGCUAGCAAGUUUACUUUACGGAAACUUCUGGAAAAUUGCCCAUUAUUUAGUUUUUCUAGGGAGCCAGAAAACGGAGGCCGUGGAAGAACCUAUUCAAGCAAGUAAAUAUAUUUUGAUAAUGAUCAAAAAUGAUAUAUUAUUAGCUAGCUUUCUACAGAAACAUAGUGUGCAGGCUAACUCCAAAGAGCUGAUCUCAUAAUGUUGGCUAGCUAACUUUACGUACUGUAUAGCUAGCAAUGUAAAUAAAAUAUCACCAGCUUGCUAACUUCAUAUUAGCUAGUUAGUUAUCUUGAUUAUAUUUAUCAUUGUAACUCCAAAUACAUUUGUAUUUAGGUAGCUAGCUAACAGCAAUGGAAGAGUGUGAAAGGUUUAGCUAACGUUAGCACUUCCAGCUGUCUCCAGUUCCAGUCCCUAGCGAGGUAAAAACUGAGGACAGAAAGAUAUAGCAACACAAUAUUCAGGGCUGUCUAACUUGAUUAUAACGAGGCCUGUUUCUUUUGUGAUGUCUGUCCUGUUGUCUGUCCUCAGAUACAGAGAGCCGUAAAACCCUGUCCGCAGAUACAGAGAGCCGUAAAACCCUGUCCGCAGAUACAGAGAGCCGUAAAACCCUGUCCGCAGAUACAGAGAGCCGUAAAACCCUGUCCUCAGAUACAGAGAGCCGUAAAACCCUGUCCUCAGAUGAAGAAGUCCUAAUGCAUGUCCCAAGAGAAAAAGGGUACAUCCUUGUAUACCAUAUGGUUUAUGUAUAACUAGCUUUUUUAGCACAUUUUAUAAACAUAAAUACAGUUUAAAAGUCACACACGAUGUAUAAACCUAUUACAACUGGAGCAGACCAACCCUUGUCUGGAGUGCAGGCUUCUGUUCCAACCCAGCACUAAUACACCUGAUUCAAUGUAUCAAACCUAAUUAGUUAAUAAUUCAUUAUGCUGUUACUGGGCUGAAACAGAAGUUUUCUCACUCAGUAGAUCAGGGAUCGGUGGAGUGAUGUUGGACAUUACCAGUAUAGACUUAUUUCAUUAAUUCAAUUCAAUUCAAGGGUUUUAUUGGCAUGGAAAACAUGUGUGUUAACAUUAUUAUACCUGAAAUAAUGUUUUAGUAAUCACAGCCUACUUGUUACUAAAAUGUCUAACCUUUACAUAUUUAUUUGAAGUUAAGUGUUUAAACUUGUUUUGAUUGUUAACUUAACUAUUAUUUAGGAUGAACUAGUGUUUUUGUUAAUUAAUCAUGUCACGAUCCUGCAAUAAAGAGAGGAAGGGAAUCUGUCUCUAAUUUGUCUGUGUUUCUGUGUUGUAUUAUUAGAUUAUUACCAUUUUGUCAGGAUAUCAGCCAUGUGAACCCAUUUUGCAGCUGAUAAUGGCAUGUAAUACCAAGUCUGCCAUAGGCCUACAGUUUUUUUGAGGGGAGGGGGGGGGGGAACAUAUAGCUGAACAAUAUGUAAACAAUGUGUGUGAGUUAAGCUUGUCUCUGCUUCAGAUGCAAAUUGUCAAGGGGUGCAUUGCAAAUGCCCAUAAGACUAAUGCCAUCAUACUGUAGGCCAGUGGAUCCCAACUCCGGUCCUCAAGUACCCCGGACAAACACUUUUGUCUGGACUCAACUUGUCAACUAAUCAUCAGGCCCCAAAUAAUGAAUCGGGUAUGUUGGGGCUACAACACAAAUCUGUGCUGUUGGGGGAACUCAAGGACCGGAUUAUACGGCUUUUAGCCAAUCAGCAUGCAUAAUUGUAAUUAUAAACUGUCCGUUCUAGCCCUGAAUGCUGAUUGGCUGACACCCGUGGUAUAUCAGACCCUAUACCAUGUGUAUGACCAAAACAAAAUAUUUUUACUGUUCAAAUUACGUUGCUAACCAGUUUAUAAUAUGUAAGGCAACUCAGGGGUUUGUGGUGUACUGUAUGGCCAAUAUACCAUGGCGAUUGGCUCUAUCCAGGCAUUCUGUGUUGCGUAACCAGUUUAUAAUAGCAUUAAGGCAUCUCGGGGGUUUUUGGUAUAUGGCCAAUAACCACGGUUAAUGAGCGUAUCCUGGUACUCCGUGUUGCGUCGCACAUAAGAACAGCCCUUAGACAUGGUGUAUUGGCCUUAUACCACACCCCCUCGGGCCUUAUUCUUCUCUACUUCCUGUUCUCCCCCUCUCCCUCCUUCUUGUCAUUCCCUGCACCAGCUCCCACCAUCUCCUUUUCAGUGUUUGUCUCCUCUUUCCUCUCCUUAGUUCUGCUAAUGGAACAUCUCUUUUGUCUGUGGGCUGUAAUCUCUACCGGUGUGGAACACGUGCACGCACUCAUACGCACGCACGCACACAGAAACACACACGCACACACACACACACACACACACACAUAGGACUCUACCUGUUAUAAUGACGACAUGUCAUAGGCCAACCUAUUAUUUUUCCUGUGCUGCCCUGCCAUUGUCAUGGCAUUUGUCUUUCCCAAGACCUCUCCGUAUGACCUUCAUGCCACAACUUCUUAUAUUCCGCUUGUUUACAAUAUUUUCUCUCUGGCGUACUGUUGUUGAAGACAUCAUAGGUUGUUUAGCUCAAAGUUGAGAAGAAAUGUUUCAUGGAAGGCAGACUUUUCACUUGUGUCUCAGAAGUUGGUUUGCUCAUGAUAACCCGAUCUUAAAAAGUAUUUUUUUGUUGUUGUUGUGAAGAGAGUGAACAGAGGACAAGGACAGAGACAUAAGGUCAUAUGACUCUUGAUGCAAUGUCACUUUGUGUCCAAUGGCCUCUCUGCUGUUGUUUUACAAUGCCGGAGGUAGAAGAGGAAAUUGAGAGAUCCCAAGGACUUCUCCAAAGCCUCUUGCGUGUGUUUUAAGACACUCUGUAUGUGGCCUGAUACAGUAUGUUACCUCAAUGGUAUCGAACAGACUGGACUCUCAUAGAUUGAAAAAUACAUUUGUCCCCGUGUUAAAUCUAAAAUGAUGUCCAAAUCCUAAGAGGAGUAUCAUUUACUUGAUCUACUACAAGCUUCAGAUUUCCACACAGACAUUCCAUUGACUCAAAA
rnacentral:lncRNA from 13 species